rnacentral:rRNA from 1 species
UGCGCAGGCGGGGUAGUAAGUCAGUGGUGAAAUCCUGCGGCUCAACCGUAGAACUGCCAUUGAAACUGCUAUCCUUGAGUGUAGUUGAGGUGGGCAGAAUGUGUAAUGUAGCGGUGAAAUGCAUAGAUAUUACACAGAACACCGAUUGCGAAGGCAGCUCACUAAACUACUACUGACGCUGAGGCACGAAAGCGUGGGGAGCGAACAGGAUUAGAUACCCUGGUAGUCC